AUGCCUGUAGUCCCAGCUACUUAGGAGGCUGAGGCAUGAGAAUCGCUUGAACCAAGGAGGUGGAUGUUACAGUGUGCCAAGAUUGUGCUACUGCACUUCAGGCUGGGCUACAGAGCAAGACCCUGUGUGUGUGUGUGUGUGUGUAUACAGAGAGUCUUUCAACAAAACUUAAAGAUAUCAAAAAAAAGGGAUGAAUAUGUGUAAAGGCAAGAGUUUCCUGUUUAAAGCUACUAAAUAAAAUUGGGGAUAUCAGACAUUAUGAGUCUAACGAUGAGAUGCAAUAGGAAAUGAACGAUAUCACCUAAAUUUUGGUACCUACAGAAGCAGGAACCAUUGUAUUCUCAUCAAACAUCUGAGCUAACUACUGUGGUUUUAUAAAUAUAUGAGGGAUAAAAGGGCAAAAAGAUAAGGAGCCCAAUAGGCAAUGGAAAAAAAAGCUAUUCAUGUAAUUAGAGUUCCUUGGGAGAAGAUUUGCAGAGGCCUCAAAAAUUAUGUAAUUUUAAAUUAUGAAAUGUAAAUAGAAACAGAAAGUGAAAUUUAUAUCCAAAAGCAAAUUAAUAAAAUUUUGCAGACAAUUCAAAAGUUAUUGCUUCAUGUUCCAUGUUUAUUUUUUUAAGCAAACAAAGAAAAAAAAUGCAUCCCUAACACAUUGGUCCUAUCUAUCAAGACUUCUCAGCCAGCCUUGGCCUAUGUGCUUUGACAUCUCAAAUUAGCAUGGCUUCAGCUAACUACCACUUGACCUACACAUAGACUGAGAAAUGCACUUAAUGAAGUAGAAAACAAAAAAACUGUCAUUUGGUCCAGCAAUCUCUUUCAGAGUUAAGUUCCCCUCUCGUCCCUGCCUUUUUAUUCCCAGUACCUUUGAUUAUCACCUAGAUUGUAAAGGUGAGCAGUCAGAUAGAGAUUUCUGUGGAAAUUAUACCCUGACCAACAGGGUCUCGCCUCUUGGUUCUCUUGUUUCCAAGAUUCCCCAAUUUCCUAGCUUAUCUUUCAAUAUCGAUCUCUGUUCUUUACUUCCCUGAGCCAAGACAGUAAGGCGGAAGUGUUCUUCCGUUGUAACAAUGUUCUAUAGAGUAAAUGUUUGUGUCCUCCCAAAAUUCAUAUGCUGUGGCCAGUUGUAGUGACUCAUGCCUGUAAUCCCAGCACUUUGGGAGGCCAAGGCAGGUGGAUACUUGAGCCAAGGAGUUUGAGACCAGCCUGGGCAACCUAGCAAAACCCCAUUUCUAUAGAAAAAAAAAAAAAGAAAAAUCCAAUAUUCAUAUGUUGAAACGUAAUCCCCAAUGUGAUGGUAUUCCCAGGCGAGGCCUUUGGAGGUGAUUAGGUUACAAAGGCAGAGACCUCAUGAACAGAAUUAUUGCCAUUACAAAAGAAGCUCGAGAGAGCGCCUUUGCCUCCUUUAACUAUAUGAGGUUACAGUGAAAAGACAACCACCUACCAACCAGGAAGCAUUCCCUUACCAGACACCUAAUCUGUAGGCUCAUUGAUCUUGAACUUCUCAGCCUCUAGAAUUGUGAGAAAUACAUUUCCAUUGUUUAUAAGCCACUCAGCUACAAUAGUUCGUUACAGCAGCCCAAAUGGAGUAAGGCACCAAUGGGAGUAAAGAAGUGCUCUUAGGCAAGAAAGUCACACACAAUCUUUACUUCUUUGAAUUUUAGGUUUUUAAAGGUAUGUUCUCUUCCAGUUUCUGAAUGAUUUUUAAUUCUUUCCCAUACCUUUAAGGAGUUGUAUUUAAUAUUUUCUCCAUACUCUCAUUUCUCUUCAGAUUGCAUAAAUAUUUCACCUUGAAAUAUUUUGACCAUAUUUUGUAAUUGUUAUAUAUGGAAGAGUUUGCAUAAUCAAAUCUCUUCACCACCAUUACCAACAGUUGUCCAAGCCGGAGUGUCUUAAUACAAGACACCAAGAGAGUCCAUGUGUUGGCUUACAGAGGGGUAGACUAGUGAAUACUGUAAUUGAUAAAAAAAAUUGUGCAUGGAUAUGAAUAUAUGCAUUAUUGUGAGGAGAGCGAUCAUUACUUUUCUCAGAUUCUCAAUGAAGUAUGUGACACACAGAAAGAUUAAGAACCACUUCUUUACCAAGAAUUAGACUCUAACUAUGCUUUUACGUUUUAUUAUAAUCGUGUAACUAAAGUAACUUUCAUCUUAGUUAUUCCUCUGUAGAUAAUUCAAGUUGAUUUAAAACUAUUUUUAAAUGACCAAUUUUACUAAAAGUUUAAAUCAAAGAAAAAAGUACGUAACUGCUCCCAAGGUAGCAAUCUCUCCUUAUUGCUGAUGACCUGAGUGCCAGAACACAUACGCUUUUAUUCUUCUGUUCCAAGUAUGGGUAUGAAAAAAGCCACAGAAGUUUGGAUUCUGCAUCCCAGUCUCCUACUCUGUUCCAGGAAAUGGACAAGGUUCUCUAUAAAAAGUUGUGUGAACCUCCUUUACGUGCAUCAUGACAUAGUGGUAAUGAAAUUUAAACAGUGCUAGCUGACUCCUGGCCUUGAAUGCAUCCGGCUUAAUUUAAUUCACCAGAGUGGAAUGGAGUAGACUCAAAGUUUCCCUCAAAGAUUGUACACAAACAUUCAUUUUAAUCUCCUUAAAUAAGACUGUUCCAUUCCAUUUUAAGAUGAUAGAAUAAGCCCGGUUUAGAACUAGCUAAACAGACAACUCAAAUUGAAUCCAUAUUAUUUAUGUAACUGGACUUUAAAGGGUUUACUUCAUUAAAAACAGGCAAAUGAGUGUGUUGGUUCUUUAUUUUCAACUGUCAGGAACUGUAACAUAAAUUGUGAAUUAGAGCUGUAUUUUCUGUUAUACUGUAGAAUUUCUGAUUAUUUUUGUUAGUUUUUAUUUUAUAAUUGUGAACACGUACUUUCCAAUACUACUCUUCAACCUAGUGCAGUAUUUGCGAAAUAGAAAAAAAGAACAGAUGACCACACUGUGAUAAUUAUAUAGUAUGUGCUGUAUUAGCAAAGACAAGGAAUUAUGGCAUCACAUUAAAGAGAUAGAUAAGAAUAUUAGGGAUACUAUCUAGUGAAGAGAUGACUCGCUGAGAUUAUUCUUACAUAACUAGAAAUGGAUGGUAAAGCAUUUAUUCUGGCAUUAUUAGGAAUAGGUGAUAGGUCUUGUUAGAAUCAAUUUGAACAAGAAAACAUGUCAGUUUGAGUGAAAUGAGAGGCAUUAAAUGUGAUUAAAUCCUGAGAUACACGUGGUGGGAAAUGAGGUUGAAGGAUUUGUCUAUGAGAAGAUUAUGAAAAGUCUUGCAAACUAAUGGGGAUCCAUGAUCAUUAAGAAUUUUAGAUACAGAAACAAUAAAUAGUAAAAGAAAAAUUAGAGUCUCAUCUUUCGUACAAUUUCAUGAUUGUCUUCUUUAUUGAACAGAAGAGGAUCAUGCAAUCUAUAGCUGAAAAUGCCACUGUUAACAAAUUUGUGAGCAAUGUGAAAGAGAAAACUUGAGCAAUCAAAUAGUUAUUUCAUAUUUCACGUGCAACUCUUGGGUAUGUUUUUUCACAUUAACCAAGUGGCUCAAAUAUAUAUAUAAUAUCCUUACUUACAUCACCUCAGUUCCUUUAACUCUUAUCCUCAAGUGGACUUUAUUUCAUGGAAGAGUACUGUUAUAAUAAAAGCCAGAAGAGACUCUAGAUGUUGCCUGGAGAAGAAGAGAAGAUUAAAGAAACCAUGUAAAGUCUUUACUAAGAUGAAAUUAGUGUCAGGAUAAUGUGUCCUACUUCAACCAAGCUAAAACCCUAACUUCAGCCUUCUCAGUUCUUUGCCUUUCAGGAAUAUCAGGGAACUGCUACUGAAAUAACAAACUACACCAGUCACAGAAAAGAGUGAUGUCAGUUUUCUGGAGAAGUGAAGAUGUCUGGAUAUAAGAUUGGAUAGACAUUUAUUAGAAAGAAUCCCUCCAAGAAGGCUGAAGCUAAAAAUAUAAAACUUAUGCUAACACUAAGAAGUCUAAGAAAGUGGUAUGCAUGAUGUUCUGGUGAAAGUAUAUAAGAAGGACAUUCCUAUUUUUAAGAAGUGAAAUCUACACUUGAAUUACUGUGUAAUUGAUUUACUGUGUAAUUUACUAUGUAAAAAGAAAGUGUUGCUUUUUAGUAAUUUUAUACACACACACACACACACACACACACACACACACACACACACACACACACACACCAGGCUUCUCAGGCUGACAGUGACUAUAUUUCUUUUCUUCUCUCAGUAAUUAUAUUACAUAAUUACUGAAUUAUAUUAAUAUAUGUAUAUAAUUCUAUUCUAUAAUUAUAUAUGUAUAUAAUUCUAAUUCUAAUUAUAUACACAUAUAUAAGGUAUAAUUAUAUGUAAUUAUACUUUUUAAUAAUUCUAUAAUUGUAUAUGCAAAUAAUUUUAAUUAUAUACACAUAUAUAAAGUGUAAUCAUAUGUAAUUAUACUUUUUAGUAAUUAUGUGUAUACACAUAUGUGUGUAUAAAUGUAUAAUUAUAUAUCUAUAUAUUAUUAUAUAUUAAUAUCUAUAUAUUAUAUAGAUAUAUACACUGUAUUUUUGUCCUUUUUCUAUAAUCAACAAAAGACAGAGUAACAGACCAAUAUAGAAAAUAGGGCACAUUUUAAUUGGAUGGCACAAACAUAUGACAAAUGGACUCUUCUUCUGUGAAUUCUAGAGAACACUUAGAGUCAGUACUGUUGAACUCCCCCAGUUUGCCUUAUUAGGAGUGAAGUUGGCACUUCAUUUUAUAAUCAUUGCCUUAUGCUCCUUUCCACAAGUAUCACAAUUGCACAGACUCAUGACGCUUGCAAUGGUUUAAUUUUGGGGAAAAAACAGUGCCAUUCGUCAUCUUUUAGUUUCACAUGGUUCCAUUGGUUCCAGUCACUGAGAAAAGUAAACGAGAAAUAUAGUCGCUGUCAGCCUAAGAAGCCUCGUAUAUAAUGCCAUAAACAGACAAAUGGAUUUGGGCAGAAUGUAACCAGUUGGUAAAAAGAACAAAAUAGACUCUACCUUAACAUUAAUUUAUAAGUGUUCCUUUUCCCUUCCUUUAAUGUAUUAUUUUUGCAUGCUGUAUGUUUGUCUGUGUAUAGGUGUGCCAACUCUUAGCAAAAAAUCUGCUUCAGGGAUAUUACUGAAGUAAAGUAUGUUUAACUGUUUAA
rnacentral:lncRNA from 1 species